GCCACAGUAGUACAGUGGUUAGUAUCUAGGUUUUCCAUACCUAUGACCCUGGUUCGAUUCCUGGCUGUGGCA
rfam:Hanseniaspora osmophila strain AWRI3579 Hanseniaspora_osmophila_AWRI3579_scaffold7, whole genome shotgun sequence.